ACAAUAUUUGGGCUGCUGGUCUACCGGACAAUUUCGCUCGUUCGGUGGAAAAUCUUCCAUUUAUCGU
rnacentral:pre_miRNA from 1 species